rnacentral:rRNA from 1 species
UACGAAGGGGGCUAGCGUUGUUCGGAAUUACUGGGCGUAAAGCGUGCGCAGGCGGCUUCUCAAGUCAGGGGUGAAAGCCCAGAGCUCAACUCUGGAACUGCCUUUGAGACUGAGAGGCUUGAGUUCGGGAGAGGUGAGUGGAACUGCGAGUGUAGAGGUGAAAUUCGUAGAUAUCCGGAGGAACACCGGUGGCGAAGGCGGCUUCCUGGACCGAUUACUGGCGCUGAGGCGCGAAAGCUAGGGGAGCAAACGGG